AAUCCUUAUCAGAAGGAGUUCCUCCGAGGUCAGGGAACAUGGAAUGGUGCCCGACGCGAAAAUCGGGCGGAGCCCGGCCCCAGACGCAGGUUCGUCUACAGAGCCGGGGACCUGAGGGUUUGAGGCGGAAGAGCUCCCAGAACUGCAGGGAGCAGAAGAGCCAGAAGACAUUUUGAGUAGUUUUGAAGGGGGGCUCUAAAGGUCCCUAAGAAGACGGACAGAAGGGAGAACGAGAGGCCACAGGAGGCUAACUCAGAGGGAUGCAAAAAAUAAUGACAGAGAAGAAGUCCCUAGGCGGUGGGAAGAAGGUUGGUGGUGCUGGAACUAACCUAUAUCGCUCUGAGGGAUCAGAGGGACG
rnacentral:lncRNA from 1 species